AUGGAUCCCUAUAACAAGCCCCGUGCAGGUCCGCUCAGGCUUCUUAUGUUUCAGAUUCUCCUGCAACUAUUUGGUGUUGUUUUUGGCUGAGUUAGAAGCUCCGUCCAGGAUAAACGAUGCUCCAUAAAUCAUGAAGCAGAUGCCCCCGCCACCUAAGGAUUUGGAGAUUGCUAUAGUUCGGAGCUCGAGCUGCCCUUCGAUCGAACCAAGAACAACCCUGCUGCCCUCACAACAUCAAAGUUUGGUAUCAGCAAGAUGGAGCUUCUCAAGGCAUGCUUUUGUAGGGAGUGACUGCUGAUGAAGAGGAACUCAUGGAUGAAGAUCAUUGAUCCCUUUCAUGUCAUGGUCUAUUCAAAAGGAAAAUCCACUUCUGAGAUUAACAGUUGAGAACUGUGAGUUGUCCAGUAUUGGUGUGAUUAUACUUCUGGACUGCCUCACAAAUGCGAAGCAACUCCUUGAUGUGCUAUCUAUUGCAGACAAUCAUCUAGGGAGUCCUGUGGCAGCUGCAUUGGCCAGAUUCUUGGGUUCACAUGUACGAGCUUUAAAUGCUACAGAUAUCGGCUUGGGAACAGUAGGCUUCCAAAUACUUGAGGAAACAUUGCCAACAGAAGUAGCUCUUUCCCACAUCAACAUCAGUAAGAAUCGUGGUGGGAUCAGAGCAGCAUAUUUUGUUUCCAGAUUAAUAUGUCGAGCACCAAA